rnacentral:rRNA from 1 species
UACGUAGGGCGCAAGCGUUGUUCGGAUUUACUGGGCGUAAAGGGCGCGUAGGCGGCAAUUCAAGUCAUCUGUGAAAUCUCCGGGCUUAACUCGGAACGGUCAGAUGAUACUGUUUUGCUAGAGUGCAGAAGGGGCAAUCGGAAUUCUUGGUGUAGCGGUGAAAUGCGUAGAUAUCAAGAGGAACACCUGAGGUGAAGACGGGUUGCUGGGCUGACACUGACGCUGAGGCGCGAAAGCCAGGGGAGCAAACGGG